CAGUAGCCACGGUAAUACGUAGGUGGCAAGCGUUGUCCGGAAUUAUUGGGCGUAAAGGGCUCGCAGGCGGUUUCUUAAGUCUGAUGUGAAAGCCCCCGGCUCAACCGGGGAGGGUCAUUGGAAACUGGGAAACUUGAGUGCAGAAGAGGAGAGUGGAAUUCCACGUGUAGCGGUGAAAUGCGUAGAGAUGUGGAGGAACACCAGUGGCGAAGGCGGCUCUCUGGUCUGUAACUGACGCUGAGGAGCGAAAGCGUGGGGAGCGAACAGGAUUAGAUACCCCCGUAGUCCCUGUCUCUUAUAC
rnacentral:rRNA from 1 species